rnacentral:rRNA from 1 species
GUAGGUGGCAAGCGUUGUCCGGAAUUAUUGGGCGUAAAGCGCGCGCAGGCGGUUCUUUAAGUCUGAUGUGAAAGCCCACGGCUCAACCGUGGAGGAUCAUUGGAAACUGGAGGACUUGAGUACAGAAGAGGAAAGCGGAAUUCCACGUGUAGCGGUGAAAUGCGUAGAGAUGUGGAGGAACACCAGUGGCGAAGGCGGCUUUCUGGUCUGUAACUGACGCUGAGGCGCGAAAGCGUGGGGAGCAAACAGGAUUAGAUACCCUGGUAGUCCACGCCGUAAACGAUGAGUGCUAAGUGUUAGGGGGGUUUUCCGCCCCCCUUAGUGCUGCAGCUAACGCAUUAAGCACUCCGCCUGGGAGUACGGCCGCAAGGCUG